UGAAACAGGGGUUCCAGAUGACUUUGGGUUCCAGAUGGCUUUGGGUUCCAGAUGACUCUGAUUUGUGGUUCCGAAUUCAUGCCGAAGCUCUGAUCCUGUGUCUUGAGAUACACAACCAACCAGUCAUAUUUGCAUCAUUUGCAUCAUAGCAUGUUUAUUGUCAAAAAAAUAAUGCAGUAAAAAAAGGAAAUGAAAAAAGAAAAGAGAAAAGA
rnacentral:lncRNA from 1 species